rnacentral:rRNA from 1 species
CCUAUCAUGCAAGUCUGAGCGGGCCAGAACGAAAGGCAACUGGUAGUUCUGGUUUAGCGGCGCACGGGUGAGUAACGCGUUAGGUAAUCUACUCUGAAGACCGGGAUAACACCAUCGAAAGGGGUGCUAAUACCGGAUACGCUCCUUCCCUCGACGGANGGGAGGAGGAAAGGUGGCUUAAGGCGCAAGCCUGCUACCACUUCGGAAUGAGCCUGCGUCCUAUUAGCUAGUUGGUGGGGUAAUGGCCCACCAAGGCUAUGAUGGGUAGCUGGUCUGAGAGGACGGUCAGCCACACUGGGACUGAGACACGGCCCAGACUCCUACGGGAGGCAGCAGUAGGGAAUAUUGGGCAAUGGGCGAAAGCCUGACCCAGCGACGCCGCGUGGGCGAUGAAGGUCUUUGGAUUGUAAAGCCCUUUUCAGGGAGACGAAGGGAUCGCCGGGGAAUACCUGGUGAUCUUUGACGGUAUCUCUGGAAUAAGCCCCGGCUAACUACGUGCCAGCAGCCGCGGUAAUACGUAGGGGGCAAGCGUUGUCCGGAAUUACUGGGUGUAAAGGGCGUGUAUGGCGACCCCUUGAGUUGAAUGUGAAAUCUCCCGGCUCAACUGGGAGGGGUCAUUCAAUACUGAUGGGAUUUGAGGGCA